GCUCAAAAACAGAAAAGAAGGCUAAAAGAUUGGAACACACGCACCCACGACCCAUCUGUCCUCAACCUCCUCUCUUCCGAUUGAGUCUCCUUCCCCAGAAAAAAUCGCCGCCGCCUGUGGUCGCCGCCUUCAUAGCCGCCUCACGAUCCGCCGCCGCCUGUGCUCGCCGCCCUCAUAGCCGCCUCACGAUCCACCGUCACGCCCCUUAUGUAUCUAGAAUGAUGAGGGAAUGCAUCCUGUCCUGUUGCUUGCAUCGGCCAUGGAAAAGAGAUGACUAGGAGAAGAUCCAGCACCACAGCGAGGGCGCCUUGUCCCCGGCGAAAAGCAUGCACUCCGGCGUCAUCGCAUUGGAUAUGGAUCAGAGGUUGAAGUUAUGACGCGUGGAAAGGCGCGGGGGGGCAGGAACGGGAGCGGCAAGGCGCAGCAGUGGAGGAGGAGCACCGGAGCAAGAUUACGACCUGCGUACGACCUCGUCAGCUCGGACUGGAUGGAGGACAUGGCUCGAGCAUGCCAUUGCAGAUAUAUUGCCGUUGAACUAGCUUCUAUCUGGAAUGGGACAAAUCUGAAGUAGAUUUUGCUAUAGAAAACAAAAUCUCUAAGGUGGGAUCGGGAUAGCGCUAGAGAAAUGAUGUACAUGGUGGCUGAGAGGGAGGGGUCAAAAGAAUACAUCCACAUUUCUAACUACGUGGUGCACACAUAAUAGUAUGAGGGAAUGGCAUGUGUCAUCUAUAACACGUGCGCGCUCUUUGUUCGAACGUUCAACUGGGAGCAAUUCCAUCUGAUUUGGCAACGAGCAUUGCAGCAAUACAUGCUACGUCUUAGAAACUACUAAAAAAUGAAUAUAUCUGUGCAUUCUACCCUGCCUAGAGUUUUGCUUAUUUUGGCCCUUCCGUCCAUUGAAUUCAGAAAGACUUUCAAAACUCGACCAGUUUCAGAAUUCAUGCAAGAAAAUGCUAUAUUGAGCGAAGAUACUGCCUAGAAAGUCUGAUGUUAAGAAAGAAGAUAUUAAGAAAACUUUAUAGUAGUUGUUGUUGUUGUCAUGGUGAGGCGUGCAUGCAUUCACCACAUGGGGACUGGACGCCGCCAACAACCACUUGGGUGGCUGUGCCACCCCGCUCAGAGAGGGGUUUUCGAUUUGGGGUGUUGUAGGUUUGUAUGAUUUCAAUGGUGACAGUGGCGAGGGUCUAA